rnacentral:piRNA from 1 species
CUGAAACACCAAUGUCUGCAGAGCUAGUUU